GGACCUGACUGCUAUCGGAUUGAUACUAAGCCAUGCGAGUCAUUGUAGCAAUACAAGGCAUACGGCUCAGUAACGCGUAGUCAACCUAACCUAUGGACGGGAAUAACCUCGGGAAACUGAGAAUAAUGCCCGAUAGAACAUUAUGCCUGGAAUGGUUUAUGUUCCAAAUGAUUUAUCGCCGUAGGAUGGGACUGCGGCCUAUCAGUUUGUUGGUGAGGUAAUGGCCCACCAGGACUAUUACAGGUACGGGCUCUGAGAGGAGUAGCCCGGAGAUGGGUACUGAGACACGGACCCAGGCCCUAUGGGGCGCAGCAGGCGAGGAAACUUUGCGAAUGUGCGAAAGCACGACAAGGUUAAUCCGAGUGGUUUCUGCUAAAGAAACCUUUUGUCGAGUCCUAGAAACACUGAUGAAUAAGGGGUGGGCGAAGUUCUGGUGUCAGCG
rnacentral:rRNA from 1 species